rnacentral:rRNA from 1 species
UACGGGGGGGGCAAGCGUUGUUCGGAAUUACUGGGCGUAAAGGGCUCGUAGGCGGCCAACUAAGUCAGACGUGAAAUCCCUCGGCUUAACCGGGGAACUGCGUCUGAUACUGGAUGGCUCGAGUUUGGGAGAGGGAUGCGGAAUCCCAGGUGUAGCGGUGAAAUGCGUAGAUAUCUGGAGGAACACCGGUGGCGAAGGCGGCAUCCUGGACCAACACUGACGCUGAGUGAGCGAAAGCCAGGGGAGCAAACGGG